rnacentral:lncRNA from 1 species
ACAUUAAAUCUUGACUACCUUGUUAAGUCUUGUCAUUACAUUGAUGACAGCAACCUAACCAAUCUCAAUUAAAAAUCAAGAAAUAUAUUUAUAAUUAAAUAAAAUAUAUGAAAUAAUAGAACCUAAAACGGGGCGAUUACACGGGGAAUCUCAAAUGAUACUUUUUGGCCCUUUACAGUCCGCAGACAUGACAACGUAAUUACGUCGUAUUUAAGCGACACUGAACGCGAGCGGUGGUGACGUUCCUGGACGACACAGUGACGCCAUCAUCCGUGGACAGGGAGUCGUACAGGAAUCGGUGGGAUAAAGGCGAUCGCGCUUUAACGGAGAAGCAUCGGAGUCGUGCGCAGUAUCCCUGGCGUUCUUUAAAUCGGUCACAUAUUAUUUCAGGGAGAUUUUAGUUUUUGCAGAAGAUAAAUAAGUAAUAAAGCUCUCCCUGCUGCGUGGGUUGGAAGGGUUGGCGUAACGCUCCUACUUUAUUCCAUCGGAUGAAGAUGUUUGGUUUGUGCUUGUAAAACUUCAGCUCGUUUUCAAAGGAUCGUUUCAUCUUUCUUUUGGGCAAACCGGAGAAGAGGAGAGACCGGUGACCGUAACUGGACUCCGGAUAGGAUACCUGGGGGAGCUAACUGUCCCUGUGCACACAGGAGCCUAAUUUUCCUCGCCUUUCCAUCAGUUUCCAGGAAGUCAGAGGUGGAGAACCACAUCUGAAGGACUCUGAGCUGCCAGACGUGUGAAUCGUAAGUUACUACUUGUUCUCUUCUGUUACUCUCUUCUGUCUUCUGCAAAAAU